GGUGUUCCCCAUACGCGGUGACAUCACCGCAGCAUCUCGUUCCCUAUUCAGGGAACCAUGGUUACAUACAUAACCGAGAUGUAUUUCAGUCUAGGAGAGAGAAAGUUGGGCAGCUGUUGACAGCUUUCACAACAAAUCAAGACUACAGAGCCGACUGAUGUCUCUGGUGUUCAGAGGACUUUCGAUCGUCUUUGGCCACAAACCUACACAUUUCUAUAAAGUAUUCUUUUAUUGAGAGAUGAUGACAUCCAGGAACUGCAGGUUGUGGACUUCUGUGCUGAGUGCUGACAAGCCUGGAAAAUAGUGACACAGACACUGCAUCAUCUGACACUGAUUCAGAGGAGCAUCCUGACUUACCUGAGCCUUUGACUGCUUUAUUUGAUGUAACACUCAGGGAACCUCAUCAAUCUGAGAAACUGGAAUUUGUGACAUGGCAACAGUCAAAGUCAAAGGAUUGGUACACCUAUAGGGUUGGUCGAAUCACAAGCACUAAAUUACACCAUUAUCAUGACUUGACCAUGACUGACAAGAUCAGCAAAACAUACCUAAAUGAUAUAAGGCAGUAUAAAAGAACAGUUAAAUGUCCCAUCUGUGCUCCAGACCUACAUUUAUCCUUUUCCUUACAUUUUAUGUUGUUGUUAUUGAUUGCUAUGUGUCGAUGCACUUAUUUUUAAAGUUUGAUUUUGUAGUGCUGUAAUGCAUAAAUUUCUCAAAUGGUUAUUUUGCAAUUAAACUAUUACAUUACAAAUGAAAUUGAAAAGCACUGUGAAUUGUUGAGAUAGUCUGGGGGGAAAGUACAUUAUACACACCAGUUGCAGCCAA